rnacentral:rRNA from 1 species
AGCGGAGGAAAAGAAACUAACAAGGAUUCCCCUAGUAACGGCGAGUGAAGCGGGAAGAGCUCAAAUUUGAAAUCUGGUAGCCUUCGGUUGCCCGAGUUGUAAUCUAGAGAAGUGUUUUCCGUGCCGGCCCAUGUACAAGUCCCUUGGAACAGGGCGUCAUAGAGGGUGAGAAUCCCGUCCUUGACAUGGACCCCCGGUGCUCUGUGAUACACUUUCAACGAGUCGAGUUGUUUGGGAAUGCAGCUCAAAAUGGGUGGUGAAUUCCAUCUAAAGCUAAAUAUUGGCGAGAGACCGAUAGCGAACAAGUACCGUGAGGGAAAGAUGAAAAGCACUUUGGAAAGAGAGUUAAACAGUACGUGAAAUUGUUGAAAGGGAAACGAUUGAAGUCAGUCAUGCUCUUUGGUAUUUAUAUCAUUGAGUGGGGUCAACAUCAGUUUUGAUCGAUGGAUAAAGGCACUAGGAAGGUAGCACUCUCGGGUGAACUUAUAGCCUAGCGUCAUAUACAUUGAUUGGGACUGAGGAACGCAGCAUGCCUUUAUGGCCGGGAUUCGUCCACGUACAUGCUUAGGAUGU